GGACCCGCACAAGUAGUGGAGCAUGUGGUUUAAUUCGAAGAUACGCGCAGAACCUUACCAACACUUGACAUGUUCGUCGCGACUUUAAGAGAUUAAAGUUUUCGGUUCGGCCGGACGAAACACAGGUGCUGCAUGGCUGUCGUCAGCUCGUGUCGUGAGAUGUUGGGUUAAGUCCCGCAACGAGCGCAACCCUCACUUUUAGUUGCCAUCAUUAAGUUGGGCACUCUGAAAGAACUGCCAGUGAUAAGCUGGAGGAAGGUGGGGAUGACGUCAAGUCCUCAUGGCCCUUACGUGUUGGGCUACACACGUGCUACAAUGGUAUCUACAACAGGAAGCAAAACGGCAACGUUAAGCAAAUCCUUAAAAGAUACCUCAGUUCGGAUUGCACUCUGCAACUCGAGUGCAUGAAGCUGGAAUCGCUAGUAAUCGU
rnacentral:rRNA from 1 species